rnacentral:rRNA from 1 species
UACGAAGGGGGCUAGCGUUGCUCGGAAUCACUGGGCGUAAAGCGCACGUAGGCGGAUUGGUCAGUUAGGGGUGAAAUCCUGGAGCUCAACUCCAGAACUGCCUUUAAUACUGCCAGUCUCGAGUCCGGAAGAGGUAAGUGGAACUCCUAGUGUAGAGGUGGAAUUCGCAGAUAUUAGGAAGAACACCAGUGGCGAAGGCGGCUUACUGGUCCGGUACUGACGCUGAGGUGCGAAAGCGUGGGGAGCAAACAGG